AGUUCACAAAUUUUUUCGCGCCCAAAAAUUUAUGUUCAUUAUUUAAAAGCAAAACAAAAUCUCGUCUUUUGCAACCAGUUUCAUUAAAAUUGAUGCAGGGAAUCAUGAGAUAUAAUCGAUUUUGUUCUUCAAUCCGGCAGAAAGGCAUACGAUUUUAGGCAAGUAGUCUCCUUUUGGCGCCUACAUUUGAAACACAAUCGCGCUGCAAAACCUUAAUUUUGAUGCACCACAAAAAUAUUUUUUUUGAGUUUUUUUUUGCAUUUUACGAAGCAACCAAAUAUGAAACCGGUUUUAAUAUAGCGUGAAACGUGGAAUUUUUAAAUAUCAAAAUUUAAUCACUUUGCGCAAAGUGGGGACUCAACCAAUCCUUCCCAAACUUUAGCUAGUUUUUAAGGAACCCAAAAGAAACUGAAGAAAUGCUCACUAAAAUUGGACAACUUUAUUUUUUCCAUACAACCAUAUUACACCCUAAUGCUACAUUUGUUGCACUACCCUUAAUUGGGUAACCGAACUCCGACAAAUUCCGACACCAUUCUCUUUUACCGGUCUAGAAAUGGGCUACGUCAUUGAUUGAAAAACGUCAAAUUUUGUUUAUAAACAAACGUCUGAGAAGUGAGCACAUAUUUUCGAGAAAAAGUGAAAAUCAGUCUUUUGCAGAGCAAACAUCUGCCAAAGAGUUCGAUCCUUCACGAGCUUCGAGCGAAAGAAGAUUACCAGGGCGAUUCAGACCGGAAUUACAGUAGUGACGGAAUAUGGAUAGAGGUCAUCACAGUAAUUUUGAGGUUGAUGCAGCUUGGAACCACGGAAAUGAUUAGCGACGGAAUCAAGGACGGAAUGAAAGGAGAAUAAAAGGUAGUUGUGGCCUACGGGAUCUACUAUAUUGAGUGAAUUCCUGUCACCAACCGAACGGCAAAAAGAUUCCUUCAACUAAAACGUAUUUACUUAAAGUGUGCUGAAUCGCAACAAUUGCUCUUACGUGGUGAAAUACGCUCGAGGACCGAAAAUGAAAGUUGGAACAGUUCGUGUGAUGUAUUUCAACAUUCAAAAUCUGCCGAUUCAGGAAACCAUUUGUCUGCAUCGUCUCAGUGGUGCGGUAGUAAGAUAAGAAAUGUGCCGAGUGGAUCAAAACUUGGUACAAGCCUCUGACGCCGGCCAGAUCGCUACUAAUCUGUUCAACCCGGAUCGAAGCAAGCAAACAGGACCAGCCGAGACGAAAGCCCAGGAAAAAUGACAAGUCUUCCAUCUCACAUCCCCUAACUAGUGCAUUCAUUGUUAUUGAAAUAAGGUAAGAAUAGCCCGUGUUGCUAAAAUCACCGUCUGCUGUCAUCAGAUAACAGUAA